rnacentral:lncRNA from 1 species
CUCGUGUGCGAUAGUGGACUGUGGCGACCGAUACGUUUUUGGUCUGAAAUUUGUAUAGCGCGCUUAAUUUUUAUCCAUAGAGGAUGUAACUUGCACCCUCGUCCUAGGAAAGGUGGUAAAAGUCCGUUUAGAGAACUUUGUAUUUGUUGUCUCGUUGUGGCCAGCAACGAGACGAGGCGUACGGUGUUUGGAUACCAAAGUAGAACUUUGCCGAAGCAAUGCAAGAUCAAUGAAAAUAAAGUGCUUUGUAAAACAAGUAAAAUGUUUAGCCGACGUAAAACAAGUGAAUAAAAGACUAGCCGAAGUGAAAGCAAGUGAAUGAAAACUAGCCGAAGUGAAAGCAAGUGAACGAAAAAAUGAAGUGAAAUAAAUCUAGAGAUACCUGACUUGACGAGCUAAAAAAUUAAGAUAUGGUGUAAGUAUGGUGUAUACGUACCUACUCCCCC